rnacentral:rRNA from 1 species
GAUCCUGGCUCAGGACGAACGCUGGCGGCGUGCCUAACACAUGCAAGUCGAACGGAAGUUAGAGCUUCGGUUUUAACUUUAGUGGCGAACGGGUGAGUAACGCGUGAGGAACCUGCCUUUCAGUGGGGGACAACAGUUGGAAACGACUGCUAAUACCGCAUGACACUUUUGAGGGACAUCCCUUAAAAGUCAAAGCUUUAUGUGCUGAAAGAUGGCCUCGCGUCUGAUUAGCUAGUUGGUGAGGUAACGGCUCACCG